GACGAACGCUGGCGGCGUGCUUAAUACAUGCAAGUCGAACGGAAAGGCCCUGCUUUUGUGGGGCGCUCGAGUGGCGAACGGGGGAGUAACACGUGAGUAACCUGCCCUUGACUUUGGGAUAACUUCAGGAAACUGGGGCUAAUACCGGAUAGGAGCUCCUGCUGCACGGGGGGGGUUGGAAAGUUUCGGCGGUUGGGGAUGGACUCGCGGCUUAUCAGCUUGUUGGUGGGGUAGUGGCUUACCAAGGGUUUGACGGGUAGCCGGCCUGAGAGGGUGACCGGCGACAUUGGGACUGAGGUACGGCCCAGACUCCUACGGGAGGCAGCGGUGGGGAAUAUUGCAGAGUGGCCGGAAGCCUGAUACGACGGCCCCGCGUGCGGAAAAACGGCCUUCGAGUGAUAAACCGCUUUCGCCGGUGCCGAGCCCUGAGUGACGGUAAUUGAUAAGAAAGCCCCGGCUAACUACGUG
rnacentral:rRNA from 1 species